GAUCCUGGCUCAGAUUGAACGCUGGCGGCGUGCUUAACACAUGCAAGUCGCGCGUGAAAGGACUUCGGUCCGAGUAAAGCGGCGCACGGGUGAGUAACGCGUGGAUGAUCUACCCAUGAGUUGGGAAUAACGGCUGGAAACGGUCGCUAAUACCGAAUACGCUCCGAUUUCAACUUCGGGGGAAAGGUGGCCUCUGCUUGCAAGCUACUGCUCAUGGAUGAGUCCGCGUCCCAUUAGCUAGUUGGUGGGGUAACGGCCCACCAAGGCGACGAUGGGUAGCCGGUCUGAGAGGAUGACCGGCCACACUGGGACUGGAACACGGCCCAGACUCCUACGGGAGGCAGCAGUGGGGAAUAUUGCGCAAUGGGCGAAAGCCUGACGCAGCGACGCCGCGUGAAGGGAUGAAGGUCCUCGGAUCGUAAACCUCUGUCAGGAGGGAAGAACCGCCACGGUGCUAAUCAGCCGUGGUCUGACGGUACCUCCAAAGGAAGCACCGGCUAACUCCGUGCCAGCAGCCGC
rnacentral:rRNA from 1 species